GACGAACGCUGACGGUGUGCUUUAGGCAUGCAAGUCGAACGAGAAAGCCCUUCGGGGUGAGUAGAGUGGCGAACGGGUGCGGAACACGUGGGCAACCUGCCCCUCGCAGGGGGAUAACCGGAGGAAACUCCGGCUAAUACCCCGUAAGCUUUCAGGGUCGCAUGGACCUGUAAGGAAAGACAGCUUCGGCACUCCGGCGAGGGAUGGGCCCGCGGUGCAUUAGCUCGUUGGUGGGGUAAAGGCCUACCAAGGCGACGAUGCGUGGCUGGUCUGAGAGGAUGAUCAGCCACACUGGGACUGAGACACGGCCCAGACUCCUACGGGAGGCAGCAGCCAGGAAUCUUGGGCAAUGGGCGCAAGCCUGACCCAGCAACACCGUGUGGGCGAUGAAGGCCUUCGGGUCGUAAAGCCCUGUUGUUAGGGACGAAGGGCGAAGGGUUAAUAGCCCCUAGCCUGACGGUACCUUUCGAGGAAGCCCCGGCUAACUACGUGCCAGCCGCCGCCGUAAUAC
rnacentral:rRNA from 1 species